UUAGUCUUUACCUCAUAGAAGAUGAAGUUUUCCUGAGUGCAGUCCCUCAAUUGUAGAUGGUCUUCUCUCUCUGACAACCAAAUGACUUCAACCAUAUGGACAAGGGUCCACCCUUCAACUCCUACCACCUAACCAGUCUGAGGAGGUCAGAGCUCUGGAAUGUUCUAGGAAUCACAGACUCUCUAAGAGCAGAUGCAUAGUGGGACAUGACUCAGAGGCCAUGAUCCAGAUGCAGCCAGAAUCAGACCCAGGUUUGGGGACCGAAAAGUAAUGCCCAUAUGUUCUGAUUUGAAGUAGUGACCUGACAAUGUCUUCAAACAAACUGAGAUGUCUGGAUUCCUGACCAGACCCCCAGUCAGGUCACGUGGAGUCUCAGCUUAGACUGGGCCUCGCCAUCCAGGGGACAGGCCUUUCUCAUCCCAAGCUGGGGUCUCCAAAGGGGGUUGUACCUCCAGCCAGGAACCAGCCGAGAAGUUGUGAAAAACCCAUUUUAUGACACUCACGUAGCCAUGGUGAGCUUUGACAAGAAAAUGGAGAGUGUGCAAAACAUUGACAACUGCCCUGGAAUCUUCUCCCUGGGAAAUGAGAAAUUCUGUCUUCAUGAGGUAUAAAUUAUGAAUAUCAUGACUAGUGUCCAGAGGGUCCACCUGGCUGUCCCCUCACGAUGGAAAGCACAUUUAAGAUGAUCCCAAUUGUAAGAUGCUUCAUUACUGUGUACCACUAAGAAAGAAAAAGAUACUAAUUAAACUCUGACCCGACAGUGAUGGGGAGACACAUCCCAACCCAGAGAUGUUAAACUGUGAAGAAAAAAAAGGCAUGUCUUAGAUGCAAUGAAAUAUGGUAAAUGCUUCAAUAAUAAUGACUUCAUGCAGA